rnacentral:misc_RNA from 1 species
AAGUAGGUAGCAAAAUUUCAUUUACUUCGCGGUUCGCGGCGAUUGUUUUGACGUUUAAAUUUUUUGAAAUUGUAUAGAUAGCAGAUUUCCAUCUUUUCUUUGAAUAUAUUACAGUGUCAUCACUUCAAAAAUGACUUCUGCCAAAAAACUUAGUGAAGGUACAUGCUCUGAAUCUGUUGAUUCAAGUACAUAUUUUGUUGAUAGUUUUAAAGAGGCUACUUCUGAACUUCUUCGCAGAUUUUUAAGAAAAAUCGAGUUUAAAAAUUUCAAAACAAAACACUAUUCAGAAAUUUAUAAUGAAGAUCCUGAAUUAUUGAAAGAAACUUAUGAGCAGUUUUCAAGACAGUUGGAGAAUUCAAUCAAAAUUGAUCUUGAUGAACUUUGUAAUGAUCAAGAUAUUUAUGAGAAGCUCAAAACACUGGAUGAUCUAAAUAAAGAAUCUAAAAUUUCAGAAGAUGUUAAAGCUUGGAGACCAUCUGGAAAUCCUAAUGAAGAUGUCAGAGACUAUAGAUGCAUUUGCAAAUCCGCACACAAAAAAGCAUUGAAUGCUUUAUUAGAAAAUGUUCGAUCUCAAAAUGACCAACUGGAAAAAGAAGUGAUGGCCAAUCAUGAAGAGAUUAUAAUGUUAAAAGAAGCUGUCACGAAACAGGCUGAAGAAAAUAAAGCUGAUCUCAAUAUCUUAGAAGAAGUGGAUUUCAAUAUGAUUGAAAAUUUGAAUCAGAUGGUAGAUGACUAAUCGCAGUUUUGACAAGAAUAUGUUUUGAUUUGACUUCGUAUUUUACAUUUUAAUGAUAUGUUUGAAGAUGAUAAAUUAAAAGGCAAAUAGAUUCUACAAAAUCACAGACUGAGACAAGACUUAGUCCAAGCCACAUCCCCAUGUAACCCCCUACGUAACUGAAUAGUUCCACACUCUGUAAAAGACCAAAACAAAGAUGAUUAAGAAAAAAAUUCAGAAGUGAA